rnacentral:rRNA from 1 species
AACGAACGCUGGCGGCAGGCCUAACACAUGCAAGUCGAGCGAGGACUUCGGUUCUAGCGGCGGACGGGUGAGUAACGCGUGGGAAUGUGCCCUUCUCUACGGAAUAGCCCUGGGAAACUGGGAGUAAUACCGUAUACGCCCUAUUGGGGAAAGAUUUAUCGGAGAAGGAUCAGCCCGCGUUGGAUUAGGUAGUUGGUGGGGUAAUGGCCUACCAAGCCGACGAUCCAUAGCUGGUUUGAGAGGAUGAUCAGCCACACUGGGACUGAGACACGGCCCAGACUCCUACGGGAGGCAGCAGUGGGGAAUCUUAGACAAUGGGGGCAACCCUGAUCUAGCCAUGCCGCGUGAGUGAUGAAGGCCUUAGGGUUGUAAAGCUCUUUCAGCUGGGAAGAUAAUGACGGUACCAGCAGAAGAAGCCCCGGCUAACUCCGUGCCAGCAGCCGCGGUAAUACGGAGGGGGCUAGCGUUGUUCGGAAUUACUGGGCGUAAAGCGCACGUAGGCGGACCGGAAAGUCAGAGGUGAAAUCCCAGGGCUCAACCUUGGAACUGCCUUUGAAACUAUCGGUCUGGAGUUCGAGAGAGGUGAGUGGAAUUCCGAGUGUAGAGGUGAAAUUCGUAGAUAUUCGGAGGAACACCAGUGGCGAAGGCGGCUCACUGGCUCGAUACUGACGCUGAGGUGCGAAAGCGUGGGGAGCAAACAGG